GAUGAAGAACGUAGCGAAAUGCGAUAAGUAAUGUGAAUUGCAGAAUUCAGUGAAUCAUCGAAUCUUUGAACGCACCUUGCGCCCUUUGGCCAUUCCGAAGGGCAUGCCUGUUUGAGUAUCAUGAACACCUCAACUCUCAUGGCUUGCCAUGAUGAGCUUGGACUUUGGGGGUCUUGCUGGCCUGCGGCCAGCUCCUCUCAAAUGAAUUAGCUUUCCAGUGUUUGGUUGGCAUCACAGGUGUGAUAACUAUCUACGCUUGUGGUUUCCACCAGGUAACCUUCAGUAACAUGGGGGUUUGCUGGAGCUCAUAAAUGUCUCUCCUCAGUGGGGACAGCUCUUUGAACGUUUGAUCUCAAAUCAGGUAGGACUACCCGCUGAACUUAAGCAUAUCAAUAAGCGGAGGA
rnacentral:misc_RNA from 1 species